GCCUGGCCAAAAAAAGCUUUUUUUAAAGAAAAUUUGAGACAAAGUCUCACUCUGUUGCCCAGGCUGGAGUGCAGUGACAUGAUUUUGGCUCACUGCAAUCUCCACCUCCAGGGCUCAAGGCAAUCCUCCCACCUCAGCCUCCAGAGCAACUGAGACUAUAGUUGCACAUCACCACGCCUGGGCAAUUUUAGUAUUUUUUAUAGAGAUGGGGCUUGGCCAUGUCACCCAGGUUUGUCUUGAACUCCUGGACUCAAGUGAUCCUCCCACUUCAGCUUCCCAAAGUGCUGAUGUUAUGGGUGUGAGCCAUGAUGCCUAGCCACAAAAAAGCACUUGACAAAAUUCAAUACCCAUUCAUGACAAAAACUCUCAGCAAGCUAGGAACAGGAGGGAACUUUCUCAACUUGAUUUUUUUUUUUAAUUUACAAAAUUCUACAACUAACAUCAUACUUAAUGGUAAGAAAUUAGAUUCUUCCCACUAAGAUCAGGAAAAAGGUCAGGAUGUCCUCUCACCACUCCUAUCAAUAUUGUACUGAGAUGCUCGCUAUAAGACAAGGAAAUAAAGAGUAUAGAAAUUGGGAAGGAAGAAGUAAAACUGUUCCUCAAAAAUGACAUGAUUAUGCAGAAAAUCAGAGAAUUGAAAACGGAAAAACUUCUGGAACUAAUAAGUGAUUACAGCAAGGUUGCAGGAUACAAGGCUAAUACACAAAAAUAAAUUGCUUUCCUACAUACCAGUAAUAAACAAUUGGAAUUUGAAAUUAACCUAAUCCCAUUUACCUUGGCACCAAAAAAUAAGAAAUGCUUAAGGAUAAAUCUAAGAAAAUAUGUAUAAGACUUAUAUAAGGAAAACUACAGAACUGGUGAAAGAAAGAAAAUCUUAAGAAAUUUAAUGUAUUCCAUGCACAUGGGUAGGAAGAUUCAAUAUUGUCAAGAUGUCAAUUCUUCUCAACUGGAUUUGUAGACUCAACUCAGUCCCAGUCAAAAUCCCAGCAAGUUAUUUUGUGGGUAUAGACAAAUUGAUUCUAAAGUUUAAUUGUAAAGGUAAAGGACUCAGAAUAGGCAACACAGUAUUGAUUGAGUACAGAGUUGGGGGACCGACACUACCAGACUUCAAUAUUUAUUGUAAAGCUACAGUAACCAAGACAAUGUGGUAUUGGCAAAAGAACAGACAACUAGAUUGAUGGAACAAAAUAAAGAGACCAGAAAUAGACCCACGCAAACACACUUGUGUGACUCACACAAAUACAAAUUGAUCUUAGUCAAAGAUCAAUUGAUUUUUGAUCAAGGAGCAAAGGCAAUUCAAUGGAGAAAGGACAGUCUUUUCAACAAAUACUGCUGGAACUACUGGACAUCCAUAUGCAAAAAGUGAAUCAAGACACAUCUAACACCUUUCACAGAAACCAUCAAAUGGAUCAUAGACCUAAAUGUAAAACACAGAGCUAUAAAAGAAGACAGCAGGAAAAAACCUGUGUGAAGUUGGGUUUGGCUAUGACUUUGUUAAUUUUUUUUUUUUUUUUUUGUAUAAAUUUAAGGGCCACAGGAGCAAUUUUAUUACAUGGAUAUGUUACGUAGUGGUGAAGUCUAGGCUUUUAGCAUAAGCAUCACCUGAAUAAUGUACAUCGAUCGUAUCCACUAAGUAAUUUCGUAUUCUUCAGCACCCUCCCACCCUUCCUACUCUCCAGUGUCUAUUAUUCCACACUCUAUGUCCACGUGUUGCCAUUAUUUAGCUUCUACUUACAAGUCAGAGCUUGUAGACCAAGUGCGGUGGCUCACACCUGUUAAUUCCAGCACUUUGGGAGGUCAAGGUGGGCAGAUUGCUUGAGCCCAGAAGCUCAAGACCAACCUGGGCAACAAAGUGAGACCUCAUCUCUACCAAAAAUACAAAAAUUAGCCAGGUGUUGUGGUGCACGCGUUGGUCCCAGCUACUUGGGAGACUGAGGCAGGAAGAUUGUUUG
rnacentral:lncRNA from 1 species